rnacentral:rRNA from 1 species
CUUAAGCAUAUCAAUAAGCGGAGGAAAAGAAACCAACAGGGAUUGCCCCAGUAACGGCUAGUGAAGCGGCAACAGCUCAAAUUUGAAAUCUGGCCCCUAGGGUCCGAGUUGUAAUUUGUAGAGGAUGCUUUUGGUGAGGUGCCGCCCGAGUUCCCUGGAACGGGACGCCACAGAGGGUGAGAGCCCCGUCUGGCUGGCCACCGAGCCUCUGUAAAGCUCCUUCGACGAGUCGAGUAGUUUGGGAAUGCUGCUCAAAAUGGGAGGUAUAUGUCUUCUAAAGCUAAAUAUUGGCCAGAGACCGAUAGCGCACAAGUAGAGUGAUCGAAAGAUGAAAAGCACCUUGAAAAGAGGGUUAAAUAGUACGUGAAAUUGUUGAAAGGGAAGCGCUUGUGACCAGACUUGGGCGCGGCGGAUCAUCCGGGGUUCUCUCCGGUGCACUUCGCCGCGUCUAGGCCAGCAUCAGUUCGUCGCGGGGGAAAAAGGCUUCGGGAACGUGGCUCCUCCGGGAGUGUUAUAGCCCGUUGCAUAAUACCCUGCGGUGGACUGAGGACCGCGCAUCUGCAAGGAUGCUGGCGUAAUGGUCACCAGCGACCCGUCUUGAAACACGGACCAAGGAGUCGUCUUCGUAUGCGAGUGUUCGGGUGUCAAACCCCUACGCGUAAUGAAAGUGAACGCAGGUGAGAGCUUCGGCGCAUCAUCGACCGAUCCUGAUGUUCUCGGAUGGAUUUGAGUAAGAGCAUACGGGGCCGGACCCGAAAGAAGGUGAACUAUGCCUGUAUAGGGUGAAGCCAGAGGAAACUCUGGUGGAGGCUCGCAGCGGUUCUGACGUGCAAAUCGAUCGUCAAAUAUGGGCAUGGGGGGCGAAAGACUAAUCGAACCUUUUACUCGCUUGGUUCCGCCGAAGUUUCCCUCAGGA